UGGGGAAUUUUGGACAAUGGGCGAAAGCCUGAUCCAGCAAUGCCGCGUGUGUGAAGAAGGCCUUCGGGUUGUAAAGCACUUUUGUCCGGAAAGAAAUCCUCUGGGUUAAUACCUCGGGGGGAUGACGGUACCGGAAGAAUAAGCACCGGCUAACUACGUGCCAGCAGCCGCGGUAAUACGUAGGGUGCAAGCGUUAAUCGGAAUUACUGGGCGUAAAGCGUGCGCAGGCGGUUUGCUAAGACCGAUGUGAAAUCCCCGGGCUCAACCUGGGAACUGCAUUGGUGACUGGCAGGCUAGAGUAUGGCAGAGGGGGGUAGAAUUCCACGUGUAGCAGUGAAAUGCGUAGAGAUGUGGAGGAAUACCGAUGGCGAAGGCAGCCCCCUGGGCCAAUACUGACGCUCAUGCACGAAAGCGUGGGGAGCAAACAGGAUUAGAUACCCUGGUAGUCCACGCCCUAAACGAUGUCAACUAGUUGUUGGGGAUUCAUUUCCUUAGUAACGUAGCUAACGCGUGAAGUUGACCGCCUGGGGAGUACGGUCGCAAGAUUAAAACUCAAAGGAAUUGACGGGGUCAUAGCUGUUUCCU
rnacentral:rRNA from 1 species